GAUGAACGCUGGCGGCGUGCUUAACACAUGCAAGUCGAACGAUGAAGCCCAGCUUGCUGGGUGGAUUAGUGGCGAACGGGUGAGUAACACGUGAGUAACCUGCCCUUAACUCUGGGAUAAGCCUGGGAAACUGGGUCUAAUACCGGAUAGGAGCGCCUACCGCAUGGUGGGUGUUGGAAAGAUUUAUCGGUUUUGGAUGGACUCGCGGCCUAUCAGCUUGUUGGUGAGGUAAUGGCUCACCAAGGCGACGACGGGUAGCCGGCCUGAGAGGGUGACCGGCCACACUGGGACUGAGACACGGCCCAGACUCCUACGGGAGGCAGCAGUGGGGAAUAUUGCACAAUGGGCGAAAGCCUGAUGCAGCGACGCCGCGUGAGGGAUGACGGCCUUCGGGUUGUAAACCUCUUUUAGUAGGGAAGAAGCGAAAGUGACGGUACCUGCAGAAGAAGCACCGGCUAACUACGUG
rnacentral:rRNA from 1 species